AUACUUACUUGGUUCCAGGGCCUCUUUGAUCACCGAGGACGAGCCCCCAGGGUGAGGCGCGGGCAUUGCACUGCGCUCGCGUUGACCCCUGCCGCUACCUCAAACUGGGGCAGAUGGGAGAUGCAAGAUUGCUUGAAUCCGGUUCAAA
rnacentral:snRNA from 1 species